UACGUAGGGAGCGAGCGUUGUCCGGAAUUACUGGGCGUAAAGGGCGCGUAGGCGGGAUUUUAAGUCAGGUGUGAAAACACUGGGCUCAACUCAGUGAUUGCAUUUGAGACUGGAAUUCUUGAGGACAGGAGAGGAAAGUGGAAUUCCUAGUGUAGCGGUGAAAUGCGUAGAUAUUAGGAGGAACACCAGUGGCGAAGGCGACUUUCUGGACUGUAACUGACGCUGAGGCGCGAAAGCGUGGGGAGUGAACGGGAUUAGAUACC
rnacentral:rRNA from 1 species